GAUGAAGAACGUAGUGAAAUGCGAUACGUAAUGUGAAUUGCAGAAUUCAGUGAAUCAUCGAGUCUUUGAACGCACAUUGCGCCCUCUGGUAUUCCGGGGGGCAUGCCUGUCCGAGCGUCAUUGCUGCCCUCAAGCACGGCUUGUGUGUUGGGCCUCCGUCCUCCUCCCGGGGGACGGGCCCGAAAGGCAGCGGCGGCACCGCGUCCGGUCCUCGAGCGUAUGGGGCUUCGUCACCCGCUCUUGUAGGCCCGGCCGGCGCUUGCCGACACAUCAAUCUUUUUUCCAGGUUGACCUCGGAUCAGGUAGGGAUACCCGCUGAACUUAAGCAUAUCAAUAAGCGGAGGA
rnacentral:misc_RNA from 1 species